GCUGCAUUAAAGGAGAAGGAGAGGAAAGUAAAGUAAAAGAGAGCUCAACACACACCUAAAGGAAAUACAAUCAGAUCUAAAGACUCCUGAAGAACAACAGAGGAAAAAUGAAAGCUGUAUGUUUUUCUCUCCUUCUCCUGCUGCUGGCAUGUAGCUUUGGAGAGGGCCUGAGAUGCAACCGAUGUAUUGGCAAUGGCUGCAGUAACACAGUGGAGACCUGCCGUAUUGACCAUGAUACCUGUGCCAUGGUCAUAUUCAAGUACCCACUCCGUACGUAUCUAUUAUCCCCUUCACUAGGCAGUAUACCCUGAGUUUCAGCUGUAUAUAUCCCUUCACUAGGCACUUUACUGUGUUUAACCCUAGGAUCAGUAACCAAUCGGUAAAACACCAAAUAUUGGAUCCUUUUGAUUGACAUCUAAG